rnacentral:sRNA from 1 species
GUUUUGCGUGAGGGGUUGUAGUGGAAAUCCUCUCUUGUCUUAUCUCGUUUUUAAAACGAGAUAAGACAAGAGAGAUUGUAGCGGAAGACCCGACCCGUA